UAUGCACAGAUAGUCUGAUCUCCAGUCGAGC
rnacentral:piRNA from 1 species